rnacentral:rRNA from 1 species
AUUGAACGCUGGCGGCGUGCUUAACACAUGCAAGUCGAUCGGUAACAGGUGUAGCAAUACAUGCUGACGAGAGGCGGACGGGUGAGGAAUAUUUGGGGAUCUGCCCAUCAGCGGGGGACAACCCGGGGAAACCCGGGCUAAUACCGCAUACGCUCUACGGAGGAAAGCCGGGGACCGCAAGGCCUGGCACUGAUGGAGGAGCCCAAAUCGGAUAGGCUAGGUGGCGGGGUAACGGCCGACCAAGGAGACGAUCCGUAGCUGGUCUGAGAGGACGAUCAGCCACACCGGAACUGAGACACGGUCCGGACUCCUACGGGAGGCAGCAGUGGGGAAUAUUGGACAAUGGGGGAAACCCUGAUCCAGCGACGCCGCGUGGGUGAAGAAGGCCUGCGGGUUGUAAAGCCCUUUCGGUAGGGACGAAAGCUCUUGCUCCAACAAAGCAGGAGGUUGACUUAACCUACAUAAGAAGCACCGGCUAACUCUGUGCCAGCCGCCGCGGUAAAAC